rnacentral:rRNA from 1 species
UUGGAGGGCAAGUCUGGUGCCAGCAGCCGCGGUAAUUCCAGCUCCAAUAGCGUAUAUUAAGUUGUUGCAGUUAAAAAGCUCGUAGUUGAAUUUCGGGAUCAGCACGUUGGUCGUGCCAUUGGUAUGAACUGGCCUCGCUGAUUCCUCCCUCUUGAUGAACCGUAAUGCCAUUAAUUUGGGGUUGCGGGGAAUCAGGACUGUUACUUUGAAAAAAUUAAAGUGUUUAA